GUCCUAGCUGUAAACGGUGCACGUUUGCUGUAAAAGGAAUCGACCCCUUUUGUGGCGAAGCUAACGCGUUAAACGUGCCGCCUGGGGAGUACGGUCGCAAGAUUAAAACUCAAAGAAAUUGACGGGGCCUGCACAAGCGGUGGAGUAUGUGGCUCAAUUCGAUGCAACGCGAAGAACCUUACCUGGCCUUGACAUGUAUCUAGUAGAAGGGUGAAAGCCUGACGAGGUAGCAAUACCAGGAUACACAGGUGCUGCAUGGCUGUCGU
rnacentral:rRNA from 1 species